CGCCGCCAUCGCCGGGAGCUGGGCGGCCAGCCCUGGUGAGGCGGGUGUCCCGCCGGGAAUCCGGUAGCCCUUGCGGUCGUAGCGCUGCGCGGCGUCC
rnacentral:tRNA from 1 species